UCUGAAGGCCGACCCUGUGGAGGGGUGG
rnacentral:sRNA from 1 species